rnacentral:rRNA from 1 species
UACAGAGGGUGCGAGCGUUAAUCGGAAUUACUGGGCGUAAAGCGUGCGUAGACGGUUAUUUAAGUCGGGUGUGAAAGCCCCGGGCUCAACCUGGGAAUUGCAUUCGAGACUGAAUAGCUAGGGUACGGUAGAGGGAAGUGGAAUUUCCGGUGUAGCGGUGAAAUGCGCAGAUAUCAGGAGGAACACCGGUGGCGAAGGCGGCUCUCUGGGCCAUUACUGACGCUGAGGAGCGAAAGCGUGGGGAGCGAACAGG